rnacentral:misc_RNA from 1 species
AAUGAUUCUACACCAUUACAUACGGACAUUAACACUCACAUGUGAUCAUCUUUUCAUCAAACUUAACAAUAGCUAUUUGCUCCCCCUAGUUUAACAAUUAAAUGCCAACUCAGAAUUAGUAUUUUGGUAUUCCAUAGUUUUCCACUCAAGAUGUUUCCUUUCUUCCGCCAUCAUCUUCUUUAACUACUUGUACCAAAAAAAUGUCAACCAAAGUUGAACCAG